GGCCCAGUGGUUAAGGCGACAGACUUGAAAUCUGUUUGGCUCAGCCCGCACAGGUUCGAAUCCUGU
rnacentral:tRNA from 1 species